AAGGGGCGGCGGGAGCCUGAGAUGAACCCUUUGAACCUGAUCCGGGUCGUGCCGGCGUAGGAAUAGGAUUUUAUAA
rnacentral:ncRNA from 1 species